rnacentral:rRNA from 1 species
GGGUCAGUAGGUUGGUCGUGCCACCGGUACGUACUGGUCUCACUGAUUCCUCCUUCCUGAAGAACCGUAAUGCCAUUAAUUUGGUGUUGCGGGGAAACAGGACUGUUACUUUGAAAAAAUUAGAGUGUUUAAAGCAAGCUAACGCUUGAAUACAUUAGCAUGGAAUAGUGAAAUAGGACGAUCGAUCCUAUUUUGUUGGUUCCUAGGAUUGACGUA